UGGGGAAUAUUGCACAAUGGGCGCAAGCCUGAUGCAGCCAUGCCGCGUGUGUGAAGAAGGCCUUCGGGUUGUAAAGCACUUUCAGCGGGGAGGAAGGCGGUGAGGUUAAUAACCUCAUCGAUCGACGUUACCCGCAGAAGAAGCACCGGCUAACUCCGUGCCAGCAGCCGCGGUAAUACGGAGGGUGUAAGCGUUAAUCGGAAUUACUGGGCGUAAAGCGCACGCAGGCGGUCUGUCAAGUCGGAUGUGAAAUCCCCGGGCUCAACCUGGGAACUGCAUUCGAAACUGGCAGGCUAGAGUCUUGGAGAGUGGGGUAGAAUUCCAGGUGUAGCGGUGAAAUGCGUAGAGAUCUGGAGGAAUACCGGUGGCGAAGGCGGCCCCCUGGACAACGACUGACGCUCAGGUGCGAAAGCGUGGGGAGCAAGCAGG
rnacentral:rRNA from 1 species